CACGCCGUAAACGAUGUCGACUUGGAGGUUGUGCCCUUGAGGCGUGGCUUCCGGAGCUAACGCGUUAAGUCGACCGCCUGGGGAGUACGGCCGCAAGGUUAAAACUCAAAUGAAUUGACGGGGGCCCGCACAAGCGGUGGAGCAUGUGGUUUAAUUCGAAGCAACGCGAAGAACCUUACCAGGCCUUGACAUCCAAUGAACUUUCCAGAGAUGGAUUGGUGCCUUCGGGAACAUUGAGACAGGUGC
rnacentral:rRNA from 1 species